AAGUCGUAACAAGGUUUCCGUAGGUGAACCUGCGGAAGGAUCAUUAUCAAAACAGCGGCCUUCGGGCCUUGCUGCACCCUUGUCUUUUGCGCACCGUAUUGUUUCCUCGGCGGGCUUGCCUGCCGGUUGGACAUUAUCAAACCUUUUUGUAGUUGCAAUCAGCGUCAGAAAAACAAUAAUUAUUACAACUUUCAACAACGGAUCUCUUGGUUCUG
rnacentral:misc_RNA from 1 species